rfam:Nicotiana sylvestris Nsyl_contig116692, whole genome shotgun sequence.
UAGACAAAUUAUUGUAUUCGACUGUAUUCACGAUAUGUAUUUGUGAAUGCAGUAACGUAAAUAGUGCAAUUCAUGGUCUAUUCAGCUGUUUUUAAAUGGAAAGUGAAUCAAUUAACAUAAUAGACUCCU